AUUGAACGCUGGCGGCAUGCUUUACACAUGCAAGUCGAACGGCAGCGGGGAGGAGCUUGCUUCUCUGCCGGCGAGUGGCGCACGGGUGAGUAAUACAUCGGAACGUCUCGAGUAGAGGGGGAUAUCCACCCGAAAGGGUGGCUAAUACCGCAUAAAUUCUGAGGAAGAAAGCUGGGGACCUAGUAAUAGCCCUAGCGCUUUUUGAGCGGCCGAUGUCGGAUUAGCUAGUUGGUGGGGUAAAGGCACACCAAGGCGAAGAUCUGUAGCGGGUCUGAGAGGAUGAUCCGCCACACUGGAACUGAGACACGGCCCAGACUCCUACGGGAGGCAGCAGUGGGGAAUUUUGGACAAUGGGGGCAACCCUGAUCCAGCCAUGCCGCGUGUGUGAAGAAGGCCUUAGGGUUGUAAAGUACUUUUGUUAGGGAAGAAAAGUAAGCUGUGAAUAAUGGCUGAUACUGACGGUACCUAAAGAAUAAGCACCGGCUAACUACGUG
rnacentral:rRNA from 1 species